rnacentral:rRNA from 1 species
GAUCCUGGCUCAGGAUGAACGCUAGCUACAGGCUUAACACAUGCAAGUCGAGGGGCAGCAUGUUGGUUGCUUGCAACCAAUGAUGGCGACCGGCGCACGGGUGAGUAACGCGUAUCCAACCUACCCUUGUCCAUCGGAUAACCCGUCGAAAGGCGGCCUAACACGAUAUGCGGUUCACAGCAGGCAUCUAACGUGAACGAAAAUGUGAAGGAGAAGGAAUGGGGAGUGCGU